rnacentral:rRNA from 1 species
UACGUAGGGGGCAAGCGUUGUCCGGAAUUACUGGGUGUAAAGGGUGUGUAGGCGGGUAUUUAAGUCAGAUGUGAAAACCAUGAGCUCAACUUAUGGACUGCAUUUGAAACUGAGUAUCUUGAGUGUGGGAGAGGAAAGCGGAAUUCCUAGUGUAGCGGUGAAAUGCGUAGAUAUUAGGAAGAACACCAGUGGCGAAGGCGGCUUUCUGGACCAUAACUGACGCUGAGGCACGAAAGCGUGGGGAGCGAACAGG